GCCGUAGGGCGCGAGCGUUGUCCGGAUUUAUUGGGCGUAAAGAGCUCGUAGGCGGCUUGUCGCGUCGACUGUGAAAUCCCGCGGCUCAACUGCGGGUCUGCAGUCGAUACGGGCAGGCUAGAGUUCGGUAGGGGAGACUGGAAUUCCUGGUGUAGCGGUGAAAUGCGCAGAUAUCAGGAGGAACACCGAUGGCGAAGGCAGGUCUCUGGGCCGAUACUGACGCUGAGGAGCGAAAGCGUGGGGAGCGAACAGG
rnacentral:rRNA from 1 species